AACUUUCAACAACGGAUCUCUUGGUUCUGGCAUCAAUGAAGAACGCAGCGAAAUGCGAUAAGUAAUGUGAAUUGCAGAAUUCAGUGAAUCAUCGAAUCUUUGAACGCACAUUGCGCCCUCUGGUAUUCUGGGGGGCAUGCCUGUUCGAGCGUCAUUACAACCUUCAAGCCUGGCUUGGUAUUGGGUGCCGUCCCCCGGGGCGCGCCUGGAAAACAGCGGCGGUGCGGCCGGUGAUCGAGCGUAGUAACUACUCCCGCUUCGAGCCACCCGGGCGUUCCAGCCGGACAACAUCUAUUUUUCAAUGGUUGACCUCGGAUCAGGUAGGGAUACCCGCUGAACUUAAGCAUAUCAAUAAGCGGAGGCU
rnacentral:misc_RNA from 1 species